rnacentral:rRNA from 1 species
AUUGAACGCUGGCGGCAUGCUUUACACAUGCAAGUCGAACGGUAACAGGCCUUCGGGUGCUGACGAGUGGCGAACGGGUGAGUAAUGCAUCGGAACGUACCCAGCGCUGGGGGAUAACACAGCGAAAGCUGUGCUAAUACCGCAUGUGAUCGGAGGAUGAAAUCCGUGGACCGGGCAGCAAUGUUUCGCCGCUCGCCGUUGGAGCGGCCGCUGUUGGAUUGGCUAGUUGGUGGGGUAAAUGCCUACCAUGGCGAGGAUCCGUAGCUGGUCUGAGAGGACGACCGGCCGCACUGGGAGGGGGACACGGACCAGACUCCUACGGGAGGACGCAGUGGGGAAUUUUGGGCAACGGGCGGAAGCCUGAUACAGUGGUGCGGCGUGCGGGAAGGAGGCCUUCGGGUUGGAAACCGGUUUUGGCAGGAGCGAAACGGUGUCCGCUAAUACCGGGCGCGAAUGACGGUAACUGCAGAAUAAGCACCGGCUAACUACGUG